UACAGAGGGUGCGAGCGUUUGUUCGGAAUUAUUGGGCGUAAAGCGCACGUAGGCGGCUUUGUAAGUUGGAUGUGAAAGCCCUCGGCUCAACCAAGGAAGUGCAUCCAAAACUACAAAGCUUGAGUACUUAAGAGGAUCGCGGAAUUCCCGGUGUAGAGGUCGAAAUUCGUAGAUAUCGGGAAGGAACACCAGUGGCGAAGGGCG
rnacentral:rRNA from 1 species